rnacentral:lncRNA from 1 species
AUAUGACGCGCUGCUACCAAGCCGCGCUACUGGUAAGUAUUACCAGCGUUACUGCUAACUUUUACUGCAUCAUAUUCUCACACAUCGUAAGACUUUGACUAUUAAGACUUGCUCGCUUCUCUAUACUACGAUCAUAUUCUCACACAUCAUAUUCUACCUAGUACUUCUCUACUGCGAUCCUUCACAAUUUUGCUUCAGUCUUUGACUAUUAAGACUUGCUCGCUUCGAGAAAUGAUGAAUGCACUCGUGUGCAAUAAAGGAUAUCUUG